rnacentral:rRNA from 1 species
UACAGAGGGUGCGAGCGUUAAUCGGAAUUACUGGGCGUGAAGCGCACGUAGGUGGCGACGUAAGUCGGGUGUGAAAGCCCCGGGCUCAACCUGGGAAUUGCAUUCGAGACUGCAUUGCUGGAGUACGGAAGAGGAAGGCGGAAUUCCCGGUGUAGCGGUGAAAUGCGUAGAUAUCGGGAGGAACAUCAGUGGCGAAGGCGGCCUUCUGGUCCAGUACUGACACUCAAGUGCGAAAGCGUGGGGAGCAAACAGG